GAUGCUUUCACUGCAGAAAUCCUUAAUUGGGUGCUCUCACUUGCAUGGGAGCCUGAGAGGAUCACCUCAUUUAAAGAAGUCUACUCCACAGAAACUAGCUGCUUCAACUUCUUCAACUAGGAUCUCUGUCUCAUCAAUUCAGUGAGGUUGCUAUGCCCUGUUUGACUUUUUUUUUCUUUCUGAGCUGCAGUUAACAGAUUACUUUCAGUCAGAAAGAUUUUGUGAUGGUGUUUACCUUGAGUUGGUAAUUUUGGCCAAUGCUAUUCUCUCAUCCAUGGAAGCAGUGUGAGGAAACAAUGCUGGCAACCAGAGUUAAAGAAGGACUGGCAAUAGAAGAGAAUACUGCAGCUAUUAAGGCAGCUGAAACAAACUGAUUUAUUGUUUCCUGAACCAAUUAUUUUAGUUAGAUUCUUCUAAAUUCCCCCAUGCUUUGAAUUUCUGGUGUGAAAAAAAGGACAAAAAAUGUAUACUUAGAUCUAUAUAUAGAUCUAUAUAUAGAUACUUAGAUCUAUAUAUAGAUUUGAUUAUGUCUGUUUUCUGUAAAUUCUAAGGGUAGUGAUGUAACCUAUCAUUUUUAAAUUUUCUUUUUGCCUAUAAAAUAUAUCCAUGCAAAAUACUUAGCUUCCAAGCAAUCACAUAAUAUUAGAAAUAUAUAUGCUCUAUAUGAAUACUUAUCCUAGGAGAGCAGCAAAAAGGCAAAGAAUAUAGAGUGCUUUUCUGUAAAAGUUUGAAGAAAGACAUAAGCACUAUAAUACAAAGAAACAGGUCAUAAAUGCCUUACAGAAAUUGAAAAGAAAUUUAAAAGACCAAAGUACUGAGGUUCAGACACAGGAAUGAAUGUCAUCUGCACACCUGUAUCAACAUACCAUAUGUGCUGGUUUGGAUAUAUUAUGUCCCCCACAAAAAUUAUUAUCUCUUAACUCAAUCUUGUUGGAUGUAAACUCUUGACUGAAUGUUUCCAUGGAGAUAUGACUCACCCAAUGGUGGGUGAUACCUUUGAUUAGAUUAUUUCCAUGGAGAUGUGGGCCCUGCCCACUCAGGGAGAGUCUUAAUUGGUCCACUGGAUUACUUAAGAGAUCUCAAAAACUGACACAAAUGCUUGCUGACACACGGACACUCUUGGAGAUGCAGACAGAAAGAUGUUUGCAGAUGCUAAGCUCAGAGAUGAAGCCCAGAGUUUGCCCCAAAGAAGCUAAGAGAGGACCCCCAGAUACUUAGAGAGAAACA